CAGUGUGUCGUUAAUAUUUGUUUACUUUAAUAAGUUACUGGUGCACCAUUGGAUAUGAAGAUACAAUCGCUAGCAUUACUUUGUGCGACCCUCGCCGUUGUUACGGAAUGUUUUCCGUUGAAAACUGGAAGCUACGAGGACGUGGACCCUCUGUACCCGUCCGUUAACCGGAAGUUCAUUUCUGUGAGUGAGCAACGCCUGUACGAGCAGUUCUUUGCCGACCUGAGGGACUCCUACACAAGUCAUGAUGGCGGCGCCAACAAGAGACAAUUGAUUUCCGGAAAAGAGCACGUGAUGCGGUCUCGUGCGAUCGGCGGCAAAGACGCAUGGUGACUAAAUCGUGAGAAUUGAAUCUCUACGACAGAUUCGCCAGUGCCAGUACUUUAAUGUUACAUAAGAGUUCAAUAAAACGUUAUUUAUUUU